GGUUAAGCGACUAAGCGUACACGGUGGAUGCCCUGGCAGUCAGAGGCGAUGAAGGACGUGCUAAUCUGCGAUAAGCGUCGGUAAGGUGAUAUGAACCGUUAUAACCGGCGAUUUCCGAAUGGGGAAACCCAGUGUGAUUCGUCACACUAUCGUUAACUGAAUACAUAGGUUAACGAAGCGAACCGGGGGAACUGAAACAUCUAAGUACCCCGAGGAAAAGAAAUCAACCGAGAU
rnacentral:rRNA from 1 species